rnacentral:rRNA from 1 species
ACGGAGGGAGCUAGCGUUGUUCGGAAUUACUGGGCGUAAAGCGCGCGUAGGCGGUCCAUCAAGUCAGAGGUGAAAGCCCGGGGCUCAACCCCGGAACUGCCUUUGAAACUAGCGGACUAGAAUCUUGGAGAGGUCAGUGGAAUUCCGAGUGUAGAGGUGAAAUUCGUAGAUAUUCGGAAGAACACCAGUGGCGAAGGCGACUGACUGGACAAGUAUUGACGCUGAGGUGCGAAAGCGUGGGGAGCAAACAG